rnacentral:lncRNA from 1 species
GCUGAGUUCGCGACCUCGAGUUGUAAUCUGGCGGGGCGCCACUAAGCCGGCGCAGGCCUUCGCAAGAUGGCGGCUGGAGGCAAGGGCAGAGGCCUUCAGAGCGUUUUCUUUUUCCCUUUCCUCCCUUCCUGCAAACAAUUGAGGAAACUGAGGCACUGGAAGAUGAAGGCUACAGAGGUAGAAAGUGAUGGAGGCUGGAGUGCAAUGGCGUGAUCCCAGCUUGUUGCAACCUCUGCCUCUCGGCUUCAAGCAGUUCUUCUGCCUCAGCCUCCAGAGUAGCUG